GCGAUCAUACCAGCACUAAUGCACCGGAUCCCAUCAGAACUCCGAAGUUAAGCGUGCUUGGGCGAGAGCAGUACUAGGAUGGGUGACCCCCUGGGAAGUCCUCGUGUUGAACCU
rnacentral:rRNA from 1 species